rnacentral:lncRNA from 1 species
UAAAAACUAGCCGAGUUCGCCCUAAAACUUUCUCCCAGACACGAUUACCAAGGUAGCCGCUAGCCUUGGAGGAGAUGAGUUUCUUCCAUCGUCGUUGCUCCUCCGGCAGCUUAGUUCUCUGAUCGGUGUUGCAUAGAAGGUGAGAUCUCUCGGGUGAGCCUCCUUCCGGCGAGCCUACUCCCUGAGAUGACUCCUUUUCCUCUGUCUUUUUCG